rnacentral:rRNA from 1 species
UACGUAGGGUGCGAGCGUUGUCCGGAAUUAUUGGGCGUAAAGGGCUCGUAGGCGGUUUGUCGCGUCGGGAGUGAAAACACACAGCUUAACUGUGUGCUUGCUUCCGAUACGGGCAGACUAGAGGUAUGCAGGGGAGAACGGAAUUCCUGGUGUAGCGGUGAAAUGCGCAGAUAUCAGGAAGAACACCCGUGGCGAAGGCGGCUCUCUGGGACGGUACUGACGCUGAGACGCGAAAGCGUGGGGAGCAAACAGG